GAUUAAUAAGCAGAGGCAAAGAGAAGAUAAUGCAUUGCCCACAGUUCACAACUAAUAAUUGGGAGUGGGCAGGAGUCUACUAUGGUCCAUCAACAUUCUACUAUGGAUACAGUCAUCCUGGCCAAGUAGAAAUAAAAGAAGAUAACAAGAGAGGAUUUAGUUGCUGGAAAAAUUCACCUACUGCCUUUGGAAAAGCAAAAUGGGAUUUUAUGUGAUGACUUCCACUUCUGGGAGCUGACAUUCUAACAUUAUUACCCAG